UGGUUUGAGGGGGCUAGACACCCUUUUCUCAUUUGGACUGACCACUGCAAUCUGGAGUACAUCUGGGCAGCGAGGAGACUGAACCCUCGCCAGGCAAGGUGGGCCAUGUUCUUUACCCGUUUUGUUUUCACCCUGUCCUACAGACCAGGUUCCCAGAAUGUGAAGGCAGACGCACUGUCCCGGCUGUAUGACACAGAGGAGCGGUCCACGGAUCCCACCCUCAUACUCCCCGCCUCCUGCCUGGUGGCGCCGGUAGUGUGGGAGCUGGACACUGACAUUGAGCAGGCGUUACGUGCAGAGCCCGCUCCCGUCCAGUGUCCUGCUGGGUGUCUGUACGUUCCGUCUGCUGUCUGCGACCGUUUGAUCUAUUGGGCCCACACAUCACCCUCCUCUGGUCAUCCGGGCAUCGGUCAGACAGUGCGCUGUCUUAGUGGGAAGUACUGGUGGUCCACUGUAGCUAAGGAUGUGAGGGUUUAUGUCUCCUCCUGCUCGGUGUGUGCCCAGUGCAAGGCCCCUAGACACUUGCCAAGGGAAGUUACAACCCUUACCCGUUCCACAAUGGCCGUGGUCACACAUGUCGGUGGAUUCCCUAACCGAUCUUCCUCCUUCACAGGGUAACACCACCAUCCUGGUCGUUGUGGAUUGUUUUUCCAAGACCUGUCGUCUCCUCCCUUUACCCGGUCUCCCUACGGCCCUACUGACUGCGGAGGCCCUGUUUAUUCACGUCUUCCGGCACUAUGAGGUGCCUGAGGAUAUAGUGUCUGAUCGGGGUCCCCAGUUCACGUCAAGGGUCUGGAGAGCGUUCAUGGAACGUCUGGGGAUCUCGGUUAGUCUUACCUCAGGUUUUCACCCCGAGAGUGAUGGGCAGGUGGAGAGAGUGAACCAGGAUGUGGGUAGGUUUCUGCGGUCUUAUUGCCAGGACCGGCCGGGGGAGUGGGCGGCGCUCAUACCCUGGGCAGAGAUUGCCCAGAACUCGCUCCGCCACUCCUCUACUAACCUCUCCCCCUUCCAGUGCAUACUGGGGUACCAGCCGGUUCUGGCGCCGUGGCAUCAGAGCCAGAUCGAGGUUCCUGCGGUGGACAACUGGUUUAGGCGCUCGGAGGCGUCAGAAAGCGAGCGCAGACCGCCACCGCAGUGAGGCCCCGGUGUUCGUACUGGUUGGCUGGUAUUGUU
ensembl:lncRNA